GGAAAAGGGGAGAUGCAACAAGACCUGGGUGUCAUGGUACAGCAGGCAGUGAAGAAAGCUAAUGGCAUUUUCGCCUUCAUUGUGAGAGGAUUUGAGUUUUGGAGGAAGGUGGUCCCACUGCAGUUGUACAGGGUCUUGGUGAGACCACACCUGGAGUAUU